rnacentral:misc_RNA from 1 species
AGAUUAUUAUAAGAUUUAACAUAAAAAUUGUAAUUACACCAUCAGAGACUAAUUGUCUCACAUUUUCAUGUCCUAAGUUUUUAUGUAUAGACUUUCAAUCGUACAUUUUACUAUAAGCUUUAGACAUCGUGAUUUGACAAUCACAAUGUAAAGAAAUAAAUAACACAAGUUGUGGCCACAAUUUAAUAUUCAAUAACAAGUUUAUUAGCCAUUCUGCUUGUUUACAUGCAGCUACCAACGCUAUAAGCUUGGAUUCAAUUGUAGAAUGAGUUAUACAAGUUUGU